rnacentral:rRNA from 1 species
UGGCGGACGGGUGAGUAACGCGUUGGUGACCUACCCCAAAGUGUGGGAUAACAGUUCGAAAGAACUGCUAACACCGCAUGUGGUUAUCGGGUUUAGAAACUGAUAACUAAAGGAGCAAUUCGCUUUGGGAGGGACCUGCGUCCCAUCAGCUAGUUGGUGAGGUAACGGCUCACCAAGGCGACGACGGGUAGGGGACCUGAGAGGGUGACCCCCCACAAUGGAACUGAAACACGGUCCAUACACCUACGGGUGGCAGCAGUAGGGAAUAUUGCACAAUGGGCGAAAGCCUGAUGCAGCAACGCCGCGUGUGCGAUGAAGGCCUUCGGGUCGUAAAGCACUUUUCUGAGAGAUGAGCAAGGACAGUAUCUCAGGAAUAAGUCUCGGCUAACUACGUGCCAGCAGCCGCGGUAAU